GAGAGAGGGAGAGAGGGAGAGAGAGGGAGGAAGAAGAGGCGAGAGAGAUAAAGCAUGAGAGAGAAAGAGGAGAGAGAGAGAGAGAGAGAGAGAGAGAGAGAGAGAGAGAGACAGGGAGAGAGAGGGAGACGCACAGAUAUGUAGACAGAAAGCAGGUUUUAUGAUGUCUGCCUUUGUGCAAAUAAAAGGGACGAACGAGAGACAAAAUGAGUUGUUUGUACAGAAAGACAGCGUCGUCCUUCAGAAAGUCGUUAACGGCACUGAGCGUAUAAUAUUUUGUACAUCCUUUUCGUCUGAUGUCUGUUGAAUCAGAAGUUACAGUACAUUACAAAGAGAUCACGCCCACACCUCCCCCAUCCACCAGUCCAGAGUGCCAUAAUUAGCUUCCUGCUACGCCUCUUUCGCUUUUAUUUGGUUCUCCAUGCCGAGAACGUCCAUAUGUUGGCAUUAUCGUUGCGCUCGAUCCGUGCCGAGAGGGUCCGAAUGUCCUGAAGUUGAAUGACGCGUCAACAAAAGCCUUAAAUAAGAACAGUGAACCGGCUGGUGACGAACCGAAAUGCACAACGCAUAGCGCGUAGACGGAGCGCCGUGCUAAUCGUGGAUAAUUAUAGUUCCGAGCUAACAGGAAGGAUUCAUGGUGAUGCAUUUAGAUGUGUAGGUUCUCCAAAAGAUCAAAGAGAGACACACACAAUACGACGUAACAAACCGGGUAUGUUUGUUAAUGAUGUAAUGUCUCCCCACAUGACAUUCCCUCUCCCUCUCUCCCUCUCUCUCUCCUCUCUCUCUCUCUCUCUCUCGCACUGUUUCUACUGUACAUGAUAGAAACGCUGUCAGAACGUUUCCCUGUCCAGUUACUGGAGCGUCUGACAGCAGUAUGGUGCAGAGCUGUGGGCUACUAGACUCUAACCACUACACACACACACACACACACACACACACACGCACACGAAUCUUUCAAACGCACAAAUCCGGGGCAAGAUGGCUGAAGCUGUAAGACAGGAGGAUGAGCGGAUGAAAGGGAAAGCGGAUGAAAGGGAAAAAAGCAAGAUAAAGGGACAAACAAGUGAGAGAGAGAGAGAGAGAGAGAGAGAAAGAAUGAGAGAUGAGAGGAACUUUAGAGACAAUACUCACGCCAGCAUUUGCCUGCACCAUCUGUUGACGAUGAAGCAAAGAGGCCCAAAUGUGCCAAGUUCUUUUCAAAUAAUAUCAGUCGUUUAUACAAAUAAUAAU
ensembl:lncRNA